GGAGCUGUAGCUUAGUAGGUUAAGCUUCUGCCUGAGGAGCCCGCGUCCCAUAAAGGUGCUGGUUCAAGUCCAGCUGCUCCA
rnacentral:tRNA from 1 species